rnacentral:ncRNA from 1 species
UUAAAUACAUUGAAGAAGGAAAGUAAUUUAAAUGGAAUUUACAGAGAGAGAACUAUUGGCUGAGAUGUUCUUAAAGGAAUUUUAAAUGAAGUGCCCUUCGGAGUAAUGCACCGAAAUUAAGUAGGCUGCAGCGGUUUCACCCGUUAUAGUGAUAGAGUAUAGAAUGGUACUUGAACUACAAUCUAACUUUAACUAGAGUGGAUUUGCGAAGUAUAACUUCGUCUCUAUG